UUGAUACUGUUAAAGUCAGACUCAAAGAAUCUCUAAUUUAUAUGUUUAUAAUUAUAAAUGAAAAUAUAGCUUAGGUAUUUCUAUGGCCUGCAGGAAUUCGAUUCUGUAUUGUAUGGAUUGGCAGUCCUCCAAAAGUUGGAAGCUCUGCGACUAAAGCAGACAACAGGUGUCUGCUUAUCUUUAAGAAAGUCCAAGAUCAUUUAUCUGCGAAGAAAUAGAGCCAUGAUUUGAACUCAGUCCUUUGACUUCAAAGCCAUCAGUCUGCUUAGGAUGUUUUCACCCUUCUCCUGAACUCCAUUAUGUGACGGAAGGAUACAGCUCAUUCCCCAGUUAGCUUCACUGCUGAUGCUGCUGACCUGCUCUGGCCCUCACAGUUCCUGAGUCUCUUAUCAUGG